rnacentral:rRNA from 1 species
UACGUAGGGACCAAGCGUUGUUCGGAUUUACUGGGCGUAAAGGGCGCGUAGGCGGCUUGACAAGUCACUUGUGAAAUCUCUGAGCUUAACUCAGAACGGCCAAGUGAUACUGUCGCGCUAGAGUGCAGAAAGGGCAAUCGGAAUUCUUGGUGUAGCGGUGAAAUGCGUAGAUAUCAAGAGGAACCCCUGAGGCGAAGGCGGGUUGCUAGGCUGACACUGACGCUGAGUGCGCGAAAGCCAGGGGAGCAAACGGG